rnacentral:rRNA from 1 species
UGGCGGACGGGUGAGUAAUGUCUGGGAAACUGCCUGAUGGAGGGGGAUAACUACUGGAAACGGUAGCUAAUACCGCAUAACGUCGCAAGACCAAAGAGGGGGACCUUCGGGCCUCUUGCCAUCGGAUGUGCCCAGAUGGGAUUAGCUAGUAGGUGGGGUAAAGGCUCACCUAGGCGACGACCCCUAGCUGGUCUGAGAGGAUGACCAGCCACACUGGAACUGAGACACGGUCCAG